GUCCUUCCUCCCAAACAGGCCUGCUGCAGCUGUGGGUGAUUCGGAUGGUCUGUUGGUGGAAUGUGGAGCUGGACGGGUCAAGGAGCACAGUGUGGAAAGAGGGACAAUUUGCUACAAGUUGGAGAUAAGAGACAUGGCAUACUGUGAAACCAGUGCUGACGGAAGAAGGUGACUUUCUUGGAAGGUCAAGACACUUGCUUGACAGCGAUGUCCAGGAGGGCUAGGGAGAGUUCUGCUGGAAGUGAAGGCAGCACCUGAGGGUGGCUGAGGGAACUGGUCAGGGCUGGGAACGCCUCCAGCCCUUUGAGGAAUGAUUCGCUGAUUAAGAGAUGUUUGGCCUUGAAAAUUGCAAGAAUGAAAUCUCUUGGUGGGAAUGUGUAGCCAAAAGCCAGCACCCUGAGUGGCUCCAAGGUUUGGGGACCCUCUCAAGGCACAAAUCCCAGUUCCUUUUCAAUUUUGAAAAUCGUUGUGGGCGAUUCUGGAAUUGAGAAGUGUGCUGAGAGCCAUGGAUUUAACAUGACAAGAAUUUCCGCCCCUUCGUCACUGAGCACACCGCAAAUGCUCCAGGGCCAGGGACUUACUUGGGCUUCUGCGUGUCUUCCACAGUGUGCAUCAAUCCGCCGGGCUCUGGUUGGUGUUUAAAAAAAAAGAUGCAGCGAAGGAAUCUGGUGUGGACAAACGCCCUGGGCAUGGACCAAAAGCCUGGCCCUUGUGUCCCUGGCAAUGGGACGGUGAAGGACAGAAAGACAGCACAUCCAGUAGUGUCAGGAGCUUGGAGCAGGCAUUCGGAAGCAUCUGUUAAAUGUUAUUGAUGGAGGAUUGACAUAACCCACAUCUGCAUAGCUUUUUUGGUCUGUUUUUGGAAGUGAACAGUCACAAACAAAAACAACUUUGGUUCAGGUCAUUUAUAGGCCCAGAUCCUCUAUCCUUAGAGGUUUCCCACCAGAUAUACUAUUUCACUAUCUAUGCCAGGAAAGUUACGUAAAACCACGCAGAAUUUUACCUGACAACGAAAUAGACCUUUUCGUUAGAUCCUCCACCCCACCUAAAGCAGUUACACAGGCUGAAAUGAAACUGUUAAAGGAAUGAACUAACUUGGAGAUAGAAUCAUCGCCUUUGCUGAACACCAUUUUAAGAAUAUUGGAAUAUAUAGGGGUACCAGCAUAAUAGUAAAAUGUGCCCAUAUUAUCUAUAAUUUUAUGCUGGGCACUUUUUAGAAAUUAUUUUUUAUAACUUUGUCUUUGAGAUGAUUUGGCUACAAGUUCAUUACAUUUAGUUUACAACUGGCUUUGAUUUCUUGGCAUUCGUUGUGUAUUAUUAGGAAACCCCGCAGAGAGAAAAUGUAAACUCCAAAUUGCUUUAAAAUAUUAUGAUAGUUUUUAGGGAUAUUACACUGUGACAGUGAAUGAAAUGGACGUAACGUUCUGUUUUGUAGAUAUUUUGUGAAAUCUUUAUUAGUCUUGAUUUUCUUUGGAACAAGUCAUUCCUGUUCUGGGCUGAAGCCUGAAAAUUCCCUGACCUGUGACCCUGGCCCAAGGCUCCUCUUGGAUAAAACAGUGUUUCCUGGACCAGAGGGCAAAGUCACAGAAACAUGAUGUGACGAAAUCUAAAUAGAAAGGUAUUGAUUUGUUCUUCGUUCAUCAAAUAGUUAUUGGACUCCAGCACGUAUGAGUAGCAGGGAGCCUGGCUAGCACUACACCUUCCCCUCCUGCCUCUCAGGGUCAGGGCCACAGGCACACACAGAGCGAGGGAAAAUGAGGGGGUAGAGAGGCUGGUCCCGAGUCUCCAGCCCUUCUCUCCCAAUCCUCUCCCUGAGUGGGCAGGGAACUCUUCUCUUGGCUCCUCCAACUUCCAUCAACGUCUGCCCUUG
rnacentral:lncRNA from 1 species